rnacentral:rRNA from 1 species
UGACCCUACGGGGGGCAGCAGUGAGGAAUAUUGGUCAAUGGCCGCAGGGCUGAACCAGCCAAGUCGCGUGAGGGAUGACGGUCCUAUGGAUUGUAAACCUCUUUUGUCAGGGAGCAAAGGGCGCCACGUGUGGCGUUUUGCGAGUACCUGAAGAAAAAGCAUCGGCUAACUCCGUGCCAGCAGCCGCGGUAAUACGGAGGAUCCGAGCGUUAUCCGGAUUUAUUGGGUUUAAAGGGAGCGUAGAUGGGUUGUUAAGUCAGUUGUGAAAGUUUGCGGCUCAACCGUAAAAUUGCAAUUGAUACUGG